CACUUACCGGCUGAGCCAUGC
rnacentral:miRNA from 1 species